UACGUAGGUGGCAAGCGUUAUCCGGAAUUAUUGGGCGUAAAGCGCGCGUAGGCGGUUUCUUAAGUCUGAUGUGAAAGCCCCCGGCUCAACCGGGGAGGGUCAUUGGAAACUGGGGAACUUGAGUGCAGAAGAGGAGAGUGGAAUUCCAUGUGUAGCGGUGAAAUGCGCAGAGAUAUGGAGGAACACCAGUGGCGAAGGCGGCUCUCUGGUCUGUAACUGACGCUGAUGUGCGAAAGCGUGGGGAUCAAACAGG
rnacentral:rRNA from 1 species